UACAGAGGUCUCAAGCGUUGUUCGGAAUUACUGGGCGUAAAGCGCGUGUAGGCGGUUGUCCAAGUUGGAUGUGAAAGCCUUGAGCUUAACUCAAGAAAUGCAUUCAGGACUGGAUGACUAGAGGACCGGAGAGGAUAGUGGAAUUCCCAGUGUAGUGGUGAAAUACGUAGAGAUUGGGAAGAACACCAGUGGCGAAGGCGGCUAUCUGGACGGUUUCUGACGCUAAGACGCGAAAGCGUGGGGAGCAAACAGG
rnacentral:rRNA from 1 species